CAUUCCCUGAUGUCAACGCAACAGUGCAGAUCAUGUCUGUCCUGUGGCUACUCAGCAAGGAGUCCUCAGACUUUGUCCCUCUUGGCCAGUACCAGGAGGACCACUUCACUGAAGACAUUCCACGUAUGCUGAUAAAGUGUUUUCAGGCAGAACUUGAAGUGUUGAAUGCAGUCAUCAAAGCCAGAAACAAUGGUCUGAAAGUGCCAUACACAUACAUGGAUCCAGUGAAGGUAGAAAAUAGCAUUGCCAUUUGAAUAUCAGGUGGUGUGACCUCCUCAGCUGUUGGCCAAAUUCGGCUUCAAAGUAACAAAAGGUAUAAA